UUAAAUUGAAGAGUUUGAUCAUGGCUCAGAUUGAACGCUGGCGGCAGGCCUAACACAUGCAAGUCGAACGGAACG
rnacentral:rRNA from 1 species